rnacentral:misc_RNA from 1 species
AACGAGGCCGACCUGCGGCUGAGUUACCUGCGGAAGGAUCAUUACAGAGUUACUACUCCAAACCCAUUGUGAACCUUACCUAUGUUCUGUUGCCUCGGCGGCGCGGUCAGCGCCCCUCUGAAAAGAGGACGAUGCCCUCCCGCCGGCAGCACCAAACUCUUGAAUUUUACAGCGGAUUACAGUUCUGAUUUAAAAACAAAAAAAACAAGUUAAAACUUUCAACAACGGAUCUCAGAUCGG